AUAUAUAUAUAUAUAUAACUGAUAGAUAGCCUAUGGUGUAUACAACAUUAUAGCUUAAAUCAUUUAAAACUAUAUUUACUUACAAAUAUUUCUAUCUUUGAGAAUAAAACUGUCCGUACCAUGAUGUAGGGGGGUUACCAUAAAAACCUUUACAAACAUUAUAUAUACACAUGUAUGUAAACAUUCAUAUCUAUUAAUAUUGAAUGGUUUCAAAUGCUUUUUAAAAAUAUGUUUCCCAAGUUUAUUUAAUUAUGUUAUAUAUUACUAACAAAUAGAGUUAUUGUGGGCAACCUUUUUAAUGAUAGUUCAGAUAGAUAGUGUAUUAUGAUAAAACCAGAACCUGAACUAUAUCAUUAUGUAUAGAUACAUAUAUCUAAACUAUAUCAUUAUGUAUAGAUACAUAUAUCUAAACUAUAUCAUUAUUUAUAGAUACGUAUAUCUAUGGGAAUCGAGUUGUUUACUGAGCUCCAUAAGAAAGUGCUGAGGAAGUUGCUUUGUUUCUGGGAGUUGCUUUGUUGCUGCUUUCUAAAGGAGGAUAGACGUUGUGUUGCUUUUUCAUGUGUGUGGAGUUUGGUUGGUACUGAAUGUCCGCACAAGGAUAGGAACAUCUGAGAGUCUUUACAAAAGCUACAGCUUCUAUUUUAAAAACUAAAAGAGUUUUCCUUUUAAUUAAGUUGCAUUAGUAAUUAUGUAAAUGAAAGUCCUCAGAAGUAUAGUAAGACAAAUGUGUAUGUCUAUGCGUGUGUGUGUUGGGGUGUGUGUGUGUGUGUGUGUGUGUGUGUGUGUUUGUGUGUGUGUGUGUGUGUGUGUUCCUUUCUAGGGUUAAUGAAAUGUCUGAGUCAACAAUUAUGUGUAAUAUCUAAGUAAAUGGAGGAUUAAAUGCUGAGCCAGUGUUAAAAAGUUCAUUAGGUUUCUUCUCAGAGGUCUGUGUGUCUCUUCAAAGACUUUGUUAUUGUGGAAGACUCUGUGGUGGGUCCAUUUAACAGCUAAUUCUAUAUGUGGACUGACCAAACCACUUAAGAGUAAAAGUUCUGGUUUAGGAUUGUUUUCUGAGCCAUAUUACUUUUGGCACACAAUACAAUUAAAAAAUCUUCUUUAGGACAAACCUGAGAUAAAUGGUAGUAUUUUGAGACAUUGUAUAAGUAUGUGGACAUAUAUCCUAUUAAAUACAUAUAAUCACUGGCUCGUCUUUCCUGUCUGCUUUGUAGCAUGUCCUACAAUAUAUCCUUUUUCAAGUUUAUAUAAAGUUCAGAAAGGCCCAUCAGUCUUUUGGGUGGUUGAGAAAAGCAACAAUUCUUGCCUUGUUACUUUUCUGUGUAUUGGAAGUUCUUACAGUUUUGCACAAGAGUACAUUGAUAUAUAUUAAAACAUUUUAAUGAUCACAGUGACAGCUGUGCUGGCCUACAGAGAUGAAAAAUGGGCCUUGACCCACCUGCCCUGUGUAAAAGGCUUUUCCACAUGUUUUUAACCCACCACAUUAUACUGAUAUCUGGAGCUGUACCGACUUGGAACAGGCUUCUUUGCUGAGCGCUAGGUACCUGGCAAGAGUAGCAAAUAAAACAGCAUCUGGGAUGCAGAGGUAGCAUAACUGAUUUUCACAGCAGACAAUUUUCACCUGGUCAGCACCCAGCUGAGCCCCUCAUCAGAAACAGACACGUGAAACAGCUCCUGGGAUUUCCAUGGCUAUGAUAGCUCGCUGAUUUCUCUCUAGGUUCAAUAGUUCACAUCAAUGAUUCAUAAUCAGUUUUCAAGGGCUUUCUGUGAUGUAUAGAAAUAUUUGCAUCAUAUUUGGCUUAAUUAUUUGGACAUAUACAUGUCCAUAUAAUUAUAAUUCUAUGGAUGCCAAACAGGAAUAAUUCCCAGCUAUAAUGACUAUACAAACAAGAUAAAAUGGGUUUCGUGCUGCAUUAUCGUAAAAUGGUAUAUCAUGCUGCAUUAUCAUCAGUUUACAUCUACACAUUAAUUGAAGAUGACACUAAAUGGCAUGUAACAUGCCAGCAGCCAUGUCAGCACUCAAUUAUUUGACAGAGGAAAAUGCAAACGUUUAUUUUUAAACUGGUGAGGCGAUCAUCAUUAACCUUCACUGCUGUUGAAUUCUUGAAUCAGAACAUUCUGCUUAGUUUUUUUAACCAGCUUAGCUCUGUAGUGCGAGCUGUAAUUCAAAUCACAGGUUUAUAUUCAUAUUAAUGUACUCAUUCUAAUGCAUCUUCCACAUACAUGAGCUCACAGAUGCCUGUAGUGUCUCUGUGACUGACAGGAGAAGGAGAGUAUGCCAUAACUUCCACUCAGAGAUGACUCUCUGCCUCUUGCUCUUGGGAUUGUCGGAUGUUGGGAUUCGAACGUGCAAUCUCCUAUGAAGGCUUUUCAGGAGCCCCUGCUUCACAGUAUUGUAUUACAGUAUAUAGUAUCACACCCUUUAUUUCAACUCAGCCCGAAACAUCUGCUCUACUCACGUUUUAUUUGUAUGUAUGCCAAAACAUGACUAAAACAUAGUCCGAGAUGGUUUCUUUCUCUCUGUCAUUUGAGGACAAUCCAGAGAUAACAAACUGAAUGCCACUAUAAUGUUUGUGUGUUUAAAUGAUUUGUUUGAUGCUUAAUAUUCCUACCAUGCACUUAUAUAAUUCUCUGUCACACAUGUGCGCUGUAGCCAUGCAGAAAAUUCAGAGCAGAGCUGCUUGCUGCCUGGCAGCGUCUCAGCACCUUGACUUCUGGUCCUUUUUUCAUACAGGGUCUGUUUUUCCUCUAGUUUCUCUGUCCACCCUCUCCUAUGUACUGUAUAUCUCUCACCUCAUCCUUCUGUUCCAGGAAGCAGAGUCUGGUUGUCUUUACAGUCUCUGUGUAAUUUAACAGUAUUUGUCAUGUAUAUGUGUUUGGUCCGGUCUGUAUAAUAUACUAUAAUAUUCUCUAUUCAUGCUGUUGGUGUGUAUCUCAGACCCUUCACCCUGCCUCUGAAAUGAGAGUUGGAUGAGUUCAAAUUCAUGGAAUUGGCACUGGACUUGCCUUUGCUGGGUUGCUCUGGCUGCAGUGUGUGAGCUGUGGUGAGGGACCUUCCUGCUGGUGGUUCAGCUCUGGAGAAUAGCACAGUGUAGGAGCCAGGGCCAAUUAAAUGAGAGGGGCGAGGGAGCCUCACGUCUGCUUGCGGAGGGGAACAUAAUGAAAUCUGAUACUUUGAGGGUGAAAUGUAGAACUACAUAUGUAUUACGUAAAGAAAGUGCUGUGAGGGGGGAAAAAAGAUCUUGCUUUCUGGCAGGAAAAUGCUUGCAGAAAGGCCUUAUGACUCUUUUGUAAGGACAAAGAUAAGUUGCUUUAGUUAUUUUAUGAGACGUGUAUUACUUUUGACUUCUUUAUCACACGCAUAUUAAAUAAAUUAUGGUAUACUGUUUUUCCAAAUAAUACUGCAUUGCAGAGGAAUUGUGGUAGAGAGCUUUUGGGGAGGACAUACUUACCUGCACUUAUAUUUAUACCUUCAUGUGCAGUAAUGAAGAGCUUUUAUGUGGGGUAAUAAUCUUUGUUUAUGCAACCAUGUUGCCGUUACUUAAUUUUCCACUUUUAUCCACUACCACUGAUUCAGCUUUGUACGCGCAGUGCUGCAAACUGUCCUCAGCUGACAGAAAAUGUCCUUAGAACAUUCAGUAAUUUUUUUGAUAGGCUCAGUAGUGUUUUUAAAACAUCUGCUGUAAUAAUGAUUUACUUCACAGUGAUAUUAGAAAGGUCACACAAUGUUCCCAGUUAGUUAAUGUGUGUGUGUGUGUGUGUGUGUGUGUGUGUGUGUGUGUGUGUGUGUGU
ensembl:lncRNA